AACGAACGCUGGCGGCGUGCCUGACACAUGCAAGUCGAGCGCGAAAAGGGCAACCUGAGUAGAGCGGCGCACGGGUGCGUAACACGUGGGUAAUCUGCCUUAGAGUCGAGGAUAACCUUCCGAAAGGUUGGCUAAUACUCGGUAAGCUUACGGUGUCUUCGGACGCUGUGGGAAAAGUAGGCCUCGGUUUACAAGCUUACGCUCUGAGAUGAGCCCGCGGCCCAUCAGCUAGUUGGCGGUGUAACGGACCACCAAGGCAACGACGGGUAGCUGGUCUGCAAGGACGAUCAGCCACACUGGAACUGAGACACGGUCCAGACUCCUACGGGAGGCAGCAGUGGGGAAUUUUCCACAAUGGGCGAAAGCCUGAUGGAGCAACGCAGCGUGUGUGAUGAAGGUUUUCGGAUCGUAAAGCACUUUCGACCGGGACGAAAAACCUCUGGCUAACAUCCAGGGGCCUGACGGUACCGGGAGAAGAAGCACCGGCUAACUCUGUGCCAGCCGCCGCCGUAA
rnacentral:rRNA from 1 species